rnacentral:rRNA from 1 species
GAUGAACGCUAGCGAUAGGCUUAACACAUGCAAGUCGAGGGGCAGCAUUAUUUUAGCUUGCUAAGAUAGAUGGCGACCGGCGCACGGGUGCGUAACGCGUAUGCAACCUGCCUGUAAUUAGGGAAUAACCCGGUGAAAGUCGGACUAAUACCCUAUAUUCUUCUUUCUCCGCAUGGAGGAGGACGGAAAGAUUUAUUGAUUACAGAUGGGCAUGCGUCCCAUUAGCUAGUUGGUAAGGUAACGGCUUACCAAGGCAACGAUGGGUAGGGGGACUGAGAGGUUGACCCCCCACACUGGUACUGAGACACGGACCAGACUCCUACGGGAGGCAGCAGUGAGGAAUAUUGGUCAAUGGGCGAGAGCCUGAACCAGCCAAGUCGCGUGAAGGACGACGGUUCUAUGGAUUGUAAACUUCUUUUGUAGAGGAAUAAUGGCAGCUACGCGUAGCUGAGAUGCAUGACUCUACGAAUAAGAUCGCA